GACGAACGCUGGCGGCGUGCUUAACACAUGCAAGUCGAGCGGAAAGGCCCUUCGGGGUACUCGAGCGGCGAACGGGUGAGUAACACGUGAGUAAUCUGCCCUUGGCUUUGGGAUAACUACCGGAAACGGUGGCUAAUACCGGAUACGACAACCGUCUGCAUGGGCUGGUUGUGGAAAGUUUUUUCGGCCAGGGAUGCGCUCGCGGCCUAUCAGCUUGUUGGUGGGGUAAUGGCCUACCAAGGCUUCGACGGGUAGCCGGCCUGAGAGGGUGACCGGCCACACUGGGACUGAGACACGGCCCAGACUCCUACGGGAGGCAGCAGUGGGGAAUAUUGGACAAUGGGCGGAAGCCUGAUCCAGCAACGCCGCGUGAGGGAUGACGGCCUUCGGGUUGUAAACCUCUUUCAGUACCGACGAAGCGCCGAUGAUGGUGGUGACGGUAGGUACAGAAGAAGCACCGGCCAACUACGUG
rnacentral:rRNA from 1 species